ACUAGUUUCACAUACAAAAUUAUACAUACCUUCAAGCUAUGUGUGUAAGGUGUGGACCAAACAAAUGAAUUCUUGAGCCAGGAAGAAAAGCAUUAUGGACAUGGACAUUGCUGCUUAGCUGCCUUUGUCCUUUGAAAGCAGUCCAGCAACCAGCCCAUGGAAUGGUGCUGCCCACCUUGCAGAUGGCUUCGAGGGUCAAGUGCUUGCUUGAAGACCUGAGUUCAGAUCCUACAACCUACAAAAAACCAGACACGGUAAUGAGCAUCUGUAAUCCCAGUGUUCCCACAGCCAGAUGGAAGGCAGAGGCAGGAAAAUCCCCUGGAGCCAUCUGGCCAGCUAGCCUGCCAUGCACAGGUGUGAACAAGGGACCCUGUCUGAAACAAGGCAGUAGGUGAGGGCCCACAUCCAAGAUUGUCCUCAUUUAAACAAGAAUUAAA